UAGAAGUAGCCAGCGAAGAAUGUCAUCAGGGAAAGCAUCAGGCAGCGAAUGACAAAGGAAAAGUUCCUAAGGGAGAGGACAUCUGCAGCAAACUGACAAGUAACAGUGAGAUAGGAGGACUGGCAGUCAGAGAUGAAGGAUCGAUGCAGAUACAGAAUUUCAAACUGAUUCAGAAGGAACUAGUACAGUUUACAGAGUGCAUGGUCGCUUAUCUGUACCAAGCUCAAAAAAGAAAACUUACACAAUAACAGAAGACGAGAUCAAGCGCAGAAUCCAAGCAGAGAACAUGUCAGUUCAUGUUUUCAGAGGUUUGAUUGGGGGCCGUAAAGCCAAACUGCCCGCAAUGAUUCUUGACAGGCCUAAGAAGGCCAAAACUAAAGUAACGGUGUUUAGUGUUCUGAGUGAAGAGGAAGCUGGGGAGCUAGCCCUCGGGUUUGCCGGAAGAUUGGCCUGCGAUGUCACAAGAGACAUGGUCUGUAAAGGCAUCGACCAUUCAAGCGCUGAUAUGACAAAACAGACUCUUCGCAAAAUCCAACACAACCUUAAACAGGAACUGACUGAUUCCUCAACCUUCAGUUUGCUGACACACACCUUUGGCCCUGCUGCACUGGAUUCUGUCAUUUCUUUCUUGUGUGAAAAACUGGAUCUUGUCUCUUAAAUAAUGAAACCUUUUGUGACUUUUGUUUGUUCUGUAAAUCAGAAUCUUGAAAAUUGUUCACUGUUGUUUUAAGUUUGUAUUAAGUUAACUAUUUGGCAAAAAUGUUUGGUUCCUAAUCCAAACAGCAUAAUGACUGUUCUAACACAUGUCUUAAAAAUGCUACAAAGAAAGAAAAUUAUCACAUAUGUUUCAAUAUGAAUGUAAUUGCGUCACACUCGGUUUGUAGUAGCUUUCCUGUUUUAUUUUGUGAGUUUUGGUAUGUUCAUCUGACCAAGAACUAAUGAUUGUUUUGCAGACACCUUUAAUGAAAUCAAACAUGGAGAACUAUGCAAAACAGUUAGUAUUUGUGGACACCACCCACUGUGUUAACCAGUAUUCAUUUCCCUUAUUCACACUUGUUGUAAGAGAUGAUCAUGGGCGUGGAG
ensembl:lncRNA